rnacentral:rRNA from 1 species
GAUGAACGCUAGCGGCAGGCUUAACACAUGCAAGUCGAGGGGUAUAUAGGAGCUUGCUUUUAUAGAGACCGGCGAACGGGUGCGGAACACGUACGCAAUCUGCCCUUAUCUUGGGGAUAGCCCAUAGAAAUGUGGAUUAAUACCCAAUAGUAUAUUUGGAUGGCAUCAUUUAAAUAUUAAAGAACUUCGGAUAAGGAUGAGCGUGCGUAAGAUUAGCUAGAUGGUGAGGUAACGGCUCACCAUGGCAACGAUCUUUAGCUGAUGUGAGAGCAUGAUCAGCCACACGGGCACUGAGACACGGGCCCGACUCCUACGGGAGGCAGCAGUGAGGAAUAUUGGUCAAUGGACGGAAGUCUGAACCAGCCAUGCCGCGUGAAGGAUGAAGGCGUUCUGCGUUGUAAACUUCUUUUAUCAGGGAAGAAACCACGGAUUUCUAUUUGUGUUGACGGUACCUGAGGAAUAAGCACCGGCUAACUCCGUGCCAGCCGCCGCAGUAACAC